CUGAGGAACAAAGCGAAGCGGGAGCAGAAUGCCGGGCUGCGGCACCAGAGGGAGCGUUGCAAGGAGCGCAGCUUGGAGGCGGCGGUGCUGGAGAAGCGUGUCAGUGAGCUGCCAGAGCGCCUGGGGAAGAGAAAGGCAGCUCUGCCGCAGGAGGAGAAGGUACCGGUUUCUUCAGGUGGGAAUUCCCCACAGCCAGUGGCUUCUGCUCCAAGGGGAGUGGCAGCAGUAGGUCCUUCUGUCCAGUCCUCUGCUAUGCCACGUCUUGCUUCCAGACCGGACCUUUGGGUGAAAGCAGCAUUCUCAGGUGGGACACGAGCCUUGCCGGGCAGCUGAGGGGCUGCUAAAACCACAAACUCUGCCCAACGUGGGAGCUGGGAACCGUUCUCAAACUAAAGCUCCUGCAGGGGAAGGCUCUCUGGCGAGCGGGGCCAGGAAGAACUGGAGUUUGUGGAGAACAAAAGCUGGAAGCGUGCCCCUGAAAAUCCCCCCCCCCGGGCGGUCAGUGGGCUGACUGGCACGGCCCGGUGGCCUUGGCCAGGAGCGGUCCUGCGGGAAGCGCCUUUGCCCGGGCUGUCCUUUGAAUUCCCACUGGGUGC